UACGUAGGUGGCAAGCGUUGUCCGGAUUUACUGGGCGUAAAGAGCGCGCAGGCGGUCGGAUAAGUCGAAUGUGAAAGCCCUCGGCUCAACUGGGGAGGGUCAUUCGAUACUGUUCGACUCGAAGGCAGGAGAGGGAAGUGGAAUUCCCGGUGUAGUGGUGAAAUGCGUAGAUAUCGGGAGGAACACCUGCGGCGAAGGCGGGUUGCUGGGCUGACACUGACGCUGAUGCGCGAAAGCCAGGGGAGCGAACGGG
rnacentral:rRNA from 1 species